rnacentral:rRNA from 1 species
UACGUAGGGUGCGAGCGUUGUCCGGAAUUAUUGGGCGUAAAGAGCUCGUAGGCGGUGUGUCACGUCGGCCGUGAAAACCUGCAGCUUAACUGUGGGCGUGCGGUCGAUACGGGCAUGACUGGAGUUCGGCAGGGGAGACUGGAAUUCCUGGUGUAGCGGUGAAAUGCGCAGAUAUCAGGAGGAACACCGGUGGCGAAGGCGGGUCUCUGGGCCGUAACUGACGCUGAGGAGCGAAAGCGUGGGGAGCGAACAGG